rnacentral:sRNA from 1 species
UCGUCUAAAUACGGGUAGCAAAAGUCAAA